AGGAGGAGGAGGAGGAGGAGGAGGAGGAGAGGGCAAGCAGAAGUUGGCGAGCUUGGUGGAAAGGGAUGGAGGACAAGUUAGAAAGAGAGCUAACUGAGUGACGGAGAGGUUUUGUAGGGGUAGGGUCAGGAGAGGUAAAGGGGAGGAAAAGGGAGUCGGAGGGAGGCAUAUGAGACAUUCCUUCAGUGAACGGGUCGACCGAGUGUGAGUGCAAGCGAGCCGGUAAAAUCGAUGUGGCGAAGUGUAGCUGUGCCACUACGGCGUGCAAAGGGUGUGCUGUACCCUAUACGUGAUCAGUAAUUUGCCUUGUGACGUUGUGUCGUACAGUCAAAUACAUUACAGUAUUAGGUGUUCAAUUUUAUGUAUCGACCAAAUCAGAUACGUCUAUAUAAUAAAUAUCCACUAUGUAUCUAAGAAAUAUGGAGCAAAAUGUUUUUUUCGAAGUAAUAUACGCAUAUGUUCAUUUUUUAAUGUCGCUAACAUGAAUCAAAAGUAGGUAUUAAACUGUAUAUAUUACGGUGGCGUAGUACUCUUUUAUAUAUAAUACAAUAUGCCUGUGCAUAAAUACAUAUUAUUUAUUACUUCCUCCUCAUUUUCAUCCUUCGCUUAUUUAAUUAUUAUAUUAUUGUUCUUAUAAUAAAUAUAGGAUUUUAAAAAUUAUGUCAAGAAAUUUUUUUACAUGUGUUCAUUAUAUUAUGAUAACGUAUUUGAAAACCACUAAGCAUUUGAAAAAUUUUUCCGAUGGCAUAUAAAUCUCUCAAUAAAAUUUCGGUAUUGUAAUAAUGAAAUGUCAAGAUACUCAAUGUUGGCAAAAGUACAUACCUAAUGCGUAUAUAUAAACCUGUCGAAGCACGCUUGAAGUUAGCUGCAACAUUGUUUUAUUUCGUAGGAUCUUGUACUGACUUGCAUAGUCGUAUUAAGUAUCGUGUAUUGAGAGUGGCACCUGCCUCGGAAUCAGAAGAACAGAGCGCCCUCGCAGUGAUUCUACUAGUUACGCUCCUGAAAUACGCCGUGCCGACGUGUGUUUCAGCCAGUGCGAGGGCGUAUUAGCGAGAUGUAGACCUAGUGGUGGGGAUUGAAAGAACGAAGCGUACGUAUGAGAUGACGGCUCGACGAACGAACAUAACUGGUCAGACCAGCGGCCUGGCGAGAACGCAUAAUAGGUUUAGGUUGAAUCACGCAGUGUUUCUUGCUAUGUAAUCGCGUUUUUACAGUGUAUAGUGCGGUUCUAUACUAUUUAUCAUAGUGUUUAGUUUUCAUUUUAUUUUCACGAUCGUUUACUAAUUGCUCACAUCUGGAUACAUUAUUAGUACAAUUUGUCGAUUAAAAAUUGUUGUGAUGUCUUAUUUGUGUGUUCAUAUUUAGAAGAAUGUUUUUGAGCGAUUUUAUAUUCGCAUAUCUGUGAUUACUAUGAUACAUAUUUUUUUGUAAUUUAAUAUGUUAGUUAUUUCAUUAUACACAACUUGAUAUUGUGCGCACUUGAUAUCGUGAUUUGAGAUUAUAUCACUUUUGUUAUUGUUAUCACUUUUAUUACAAUUGCGAACUUUGAUAAAAUUAUGAAAUAUCGAAGUGCGGAAAUCAUUACUAAAAUAGUGUCAGCGUUUAUGCGUGUCUUCUGUUUUCUGACGGCACAGUUGAACAAGACGACGAAAUAGAAGUAUAUACCUCAUACUAUCGAUGUGAUACUCAGACAAGGAGCAACGUUGCAAUAUUUCGGAUACUGUGACAACAUCGCAUCAACGCAGUGUUUCCAUUUUUCGAUAUGACACACAGUAUUGUGCCAUUAAUCCGCUGCUGUUGAUUUUAUUCUUAAAACAUUCGGAAAGAGAUUGACUGAGAAACAACGAAGAUGGGACUGGAAAUUCAUUUGACUGUGAAAUUUGUGAUCGACGUUUUAGCAAUUGUCGAUGAAGAUAUCAAGAAAAUCUUCAAAUCGUUAAAAAGUUAUUCCAAGGAAAAUUAGCUCGGCAUGACUCUUUUUCAUUACCUGGAAAAGAAGAAUAUAUCUCUUGGACGUGUUCAUCAGCCCGAUGUUACUUUAUAGAAUCGAGAUGUGGCGACAGUAAAAAAAGGACGAAAUGGCGAUAGGAUUGUAUAGAAAUAUUCCAGAUUACACGUGGAGAUUGGAAUCAAGCAUAGCGAGAAUAAGUAUACAGAUCAAACAGAGAACCGAUAAGUAUGGCAUACUGAUCAUAGUUAAAAUGAAAGAAAACGAUGAUUUAGGAUUUGCCUAAAAGAAGAUUUGGGGGUACAAAAUGGCAAAUCUUUAGAAUGGGAAACAGAGUCUAUUAAAGCUUUAGAAGUAGGAAUAAAGCUGAUCAGGAAUAUGACAUCCU